AGGAGAUAGAGAUCAAAUAAAGGGAAAGAUCAUUUAAAUAUUGGUACAUUUGAGAACAAAAACAGAACAAGGUUAAGGGUAGAGAGUGAUGGGGAACGAGGGGCUCAUUUAGACUUUGUGGCUAGGGAAGGCCUCUGUGGAGGUGACCUUUGAGCUGAGACCUGGGUGACAGGAAAGACCCAAUCAUGCCAGUGAGGGAGCAGAGCGAGUUGAGAGCCCCUGCGGGGGGAACGAGUCAGCAUUUGCCCCGGCCGGAAGAGGCUCCAGGUGUCUACAGCCCCAGUUCACCAGCAAAGGUCAGAGAGGGGGGUCAUGACUGGAUCCAGUAGGGCCUCUUAGGCCAUGAUAAGGAAAAGGAAACCUGAUGCUCCAGGAUUGGCCACAGUUGCAAGAUGAAGCUGAUGCUGUGAACAGCUGUGUGGGGAGAUGGAAAUAACCUGGGGCCCCGAUGACAUUGUUAAAUCCCCAAAUCAACCAGCCUCAAAGCCCAUCUUACUUCUAAACUUCCUGUUGUUUGAGAUAAUAAAUCUCCUUAUUCUUUAAAAACCA